CUGCGUGUGUCUCUCUCUCUCUGGCUUUAUCUAUUCAUUUCUGUCCACAGGCAGGAAGAGAUGGCAGCCGGGGAGACUCAGCUCUACGCCAAGGUCUCCAACAAGCUCAAGGUCCGCGGCCCGUCCCUGCUGCUGGAGCCCCUUCUGGGAAUGGGCUUCCCGGUACACACCGCGCUUAAGGCGCUGGCGGCCACUGGAAGGAAGACAGCGGAAGAGGCAUCAGACUGGCUACGUUGUCAUCGCGACGACCCUUCUCUGGACGAUCCCAUCCCCCAGGAGUAUGCCCUGUUCCUCUGCCCCACGGGGUCCCUGUUGGAACAACUUCAAGAGUUCUGGAGAGAGAGCAAGCGUCAGUGCACGAAGAACCGAGCUCAUGAGAUCUUCCCGCACAUAACGCUCUGUGACUUCUUCACGUGCGAGGACCACAAAGUGGAGUGUCUGUACGAGGCUCUAAAGAGAGCCGGGGACAGGAUCCGGGGUUCCUUCCCCUUGGUCGUCCCUCUGGCUCUCCAUUCUUCCAUCAGCUACCUGGGCUUCUUCGUGAGCGACAGCCCUGCGGAUGUCAUCCGGGAAUUCGCCACGACGUUCGCCAUGGAAGUGGCUGUCUUGGCAGACUGCACCGUGAAGCCCUGCGCCAAGCAGCUGCACCUGACCCUGGCCCACAAGUUCUACCCCCACCACCAGAGGACACUGGAGCAGCUGGCCAGAGCCAUCCACCCAGGCCACGGCUGCCAGUGGACCGCCGUGCUGUACUCCCGAGACAUGCGCUUCGUGCACUACCAGACCCUCAGGGCCCUAUUUCAGUACAAACCCCAGAACGAGGACGAGCUGACACUAAGUCCGGGCGACUACAUCUUCGUGGACCCCACCCAGCAGGAGGAAACCAGCAAGGGCUGGGUGAUUGGGACCUCCCAGCGGACCGGCUGCCGGGGCUUCCUGCCCGAGAACUACACGGAGCAAGCCAAUGAGUCUGACACUUGGGUCAAGCACAGGACAUACACCUUCAGCCUGGCCAUGGACCUGGCCUCCAGAAAGGACGGGGAAGCCAGCAGCAGGCGAAACGGAGAACCGCACCCUCCACAGACGCCGAGGGACGUUAGCAGCAUCCAGGCUUUACAGGCCACAAUAGCGAGGAAGAGUGUGUUGGUGGUGCGCCACGGGGAGAGAGUGGAUCAAAUCUUCGGGAAGUCGUGGCUGCAGCAGUGUUCCACUCCUGAUGGGAAAUACUACCGGCCAGACCUGAACUUCCCUUGCAGUCUGCCCAGAAGGAGCAGUGGAAUCAAAGACUUUGAAAAUGAUCCUCCACUAUCAUCGUGUGGAAUUUUCCAGUCCCGCAUAGCAGGAGAAGCACUGCUGGACAGCGGCAUCAGAAUCACCUCCGUCUUCACCUCCCCAGCCCUCCGCUGUGUGCAGACAGCCAAACACAUCCUGGAAGAGCUCAAACUGGAGAAAACAAUUAAGAUAAGAGUGGAACCCGGCAUCUUUGAAUGGACAAAAUGGGAGUCCGGCAAAACCACCCCAACCCUCAUGACCCUGGACGAGCUGCAGGAGGCGGGUUUCAACGUCAGCAUGGAUUACAGGCCUGCGUUUCCCCUCGCCUCCCUCAUGCCGGCCGAGAGCUACGACGAGUAUGUGAACAGGUGUGCGGUGAGCGUCGGAUGGAUCACCAGCAUCCGCCCACGGGACGGGAACACAGCCCAUCCGUCCCCGUGUGGCUGAGGCUGUCAGGAUGCAAUGCUUGAGGGACAGGACAAGUCGGAUUUGGAAGGUGAGCAGUGCCGGAGAGGGGACAGCAUGAGGCAGGCGGGAGCGUGACAGGUGUGGCCAGCGGCAGAGGAGGAGUAAAAACUCCAGGCGGGCUGGAGGGUAAGAGCCGACCCCACCGGUCCCCGGGCAGACGUUAUCUGUGAACUGGUCACCGUCCUGCACAGCCUGGUGUCACCUCCACGCACACCGCAUGACUCUGCAGCCCAGAGGACUGAAGCCUACGUGCCCACAUCACCCGAGCACCGAGAGCACAGGCCCAGAGUCGAAGCAGUGCGUCCGCCUCCCAGGUGGCAUCCUGGCUGCCACCGCACCGUGACUUCGGAGGCCAGAGAUGUGAGAGCGGAAUUAACAGGAAAUAGUACAUCAGGGCUUCGGUCACGCUGGAGAAUUCAGUGUCAGGAAGCAGCAAGAAUGAAUCGUUCUGUGUUGGCCAGAACCUUCAAGGGAAGCUCUCCACCCGACUGCCUCUUCCAGGUGGAUCCUGUGGGGCCGGCCACAGCACCUCGUGGACCCACCAGGACCCGCCAGCUCCCCCCAGCUGUGACUGGUCCCCGCGGCAGUCACGCCCGCCAGCAGAAGACUCGCUCCACCCGUGGACUCAGGGUGUCGUUAUUGAAGCGAGAGGCAUCAGCAGGCUCGUGGUGGCUGAUGCCUCUCAAGCUGAAGGACCCAGCCUGGGAGGCAGCCACCACAUCCCGCAAGAGGUGGUCCCUCAGGUCACAGCGCAGUCCCGCCCCCGAAGCUCCCGACAGGCGCGGCUGCCCCCAGAAGGUGCACGAGGACGUGAUACAGCAGGGACCGUGCACACGCAUGGGGGAGCCGCAACUCGGGGUUACCUGCCGCACCGCUUCCGACCCGGGAUCUCUCAAGGCUUUGUGUACCCCGGGGGUGAUUCCACCCGACGACUUUGGGGACUCUCGUUCUACUAGAAGGCGCUCUCCGUGCCUGCUCUGACUCCGAGGUGUCCCUUUCUGUACAGUAGGCGUCAUCCUGAUCGUGGGCCACGGCUCAGCGCUGGACUCCUGCACCCGCCCGCUCCUUGGGCUGCCUCCCCGCGACAGCGGAGACUUCGCCCAGCUCGUGAGAAAGAUUCCUUCUCUGGGUA